GGGCGACCUCCACCCCCAGCUUCUACUUCCGCUUCCGGUCGGGGCGAAUGGCGGCGAUGGCGGGAAAAAUCUGAACCCUGUCUGUGCCUCCUCGUGGUCGACUCAGCCUGAAGAUGCCGACACGGGGCUCUGUGUGAGGCCAUCCACCUUCAAACAGAAUCUACUCCUUCCCAACAACAUGGACAGCCAAAUCAAGUGGGCUGAGAUCUUAGAGGACUAUGAGGGCCGGGAGUCGUCGUGUCAAUCGACCACGUGGGGGGACAUGGAUAAGGUGGACCCUUUCCCAGGCCAAAGUUGCUACAAGCAUCACUCCCCAAAGUCGGCUCCUUCUGCGCGUGCACCAGCGCCAGCAACAGCACCUACUGGUGCAUGCGCACCAUGAACGAGACGCACAACACGCUGUUCUUCGAGUUCGUCAUCGGCGUUGUUGAGUAUUACGACCUCAACGUUGACCGCUACCAGCUGACAAACACGGCACGCCGCUGCCGCAGCGCGACUUGAAGAGCUUCCAGGCGGAGCUCAAGGACCUGCGGGGCUGCCAAGGGCACAAGCAG